GCCACAAAGCCCAGAAAACUCACAGCAACCCAGUAAUUCUGGUCAUGAAAGCCUUCAACAACACAUAGAAUAUAACCCAUAAGACAAAAUACAAAAAGAAGAAUAGUAAACAUACAUUUUCUUAAUAUAAAAGCAGACUGCUACUACAUCUACUAGACCCCCCACCCCAUUAAACACUAACUACACACUGAUCUACAGUACCAGCUUUACACUCUCUGUCUUGUGGUUUUAUUUUUUCCAUUUUCCAUGCCCAAUAAAAGAAGAAAAAUCAUUCAUACAUUUUUUCCCUCAUAAGAUGAUACUCUUCUAAAUCAUGAUAAUAGAGGUCUGACCCCAUCUUUGCAGUUGUUAUACACUAUCAUUCCUUUACUCUUGAAAUUGGGGUUCACUUUGCUUUGCCCUCUAUGGACUAUACAAUUUGUGCCUUACUAACAGUGGCAGUGUCUGUUUUCCCCUUUAGUGGCAAAUCUUUGGGCUGGGGGCCAAUUUGAUAAUUUAAAUCUUCUUUUCAAAUCCCUAUCCAAUUCACUUUAUAUUUUAAAGCCACAAAUUAUAGCUUGGCCUGAUAUUUACGGUUAAAAACUGUAGAUCUGAAUAAAGACCUCCCAUGGAAAUCACCCAAUCGUUCUUCAUAGCAUCAUGGAUGGCAGAGUGACAUACAAUAUGUUUUACUGGCAACACACUGAAAAUGGAAAUGUUAAGAAUAAAUCUUGGUGGAAGUUUCAGUAAUUUUUAAUAUAUUUUUUGGUAGCGUGCGUGUGUGAAUGAUAUAUUUGUCCUAGAGCAAUAUGAAUUCAUUUCCCCCACAUCUGUAAUAUCUGCAGUAAGCGAAAUUAAAAAUACAUUUGUACUUGUACAGUUAAAUGAUCAUAUUUAAUGAAAUGUCGGAGAUGAAUCUUAGCAAAUAGUCAGGAAAUUAUUUCAGAAAGAGCAGCAUUUCAUUACUGGCAGUCAGGGAAAAGCAAAGAGAUUAUACAAACCGUUUACUAUUUUAGAGGCUAGGGGAUGGACAGUUCUAGAUGAAGGAAGAAUGUGUAAAUGUCAGGUAGGAGUUGCAACUGGUAGUUUCCAUUUAUUUUCUUUGCAGAAUACCUUCCAACUUGUGGUCAAUUUUUCAUCAAACACAAAAGCAAUUGUGCUAAUCAAUGCAAAAAGCAAAAACCCUAAAACUUACAGUUGGGAAGAACGUUUAUUGGAACUAAUCUAAAGACCUCAUCAGACGGGGCUUGGGAAGCAUUCUAGGAUGCUUUCCCCCGGUCCAGAAGAUCAGAAAAAUCCAGCAACCAUGGCAGUUAAUGUAGUGUCAAACUUCAUUCAUUCUACAGCUAUUCUCCUAAAGAUUUCAAUGCUGAGCACUCUUACUACACAGGCAAAUCAGUACAAGUAGUUUCUAUUUGCAUGAGGAGAAGGACUUCUGUAAUACAGAAUAGUGGACACCUGGCUCAACAGCAGUACGUGUAAAAAAGAAAUGGGAGUCUUCAUGGACAACAAGUUAAACAUGAGCCAACAAUGUCAUGAGGCGGAUAAAAAAGCCAAUGGGAUUUUGGCCAGCAUAAAUAGGAGUAUAGUGUCUAGAGCCAGGGAAGUCAUGCUCCCUCUCUAUUCUGCCUUGGUCAGACCACACCUGGAAUCACACUGUGUCCAGUUUUGGGCACCACAAUUGAAGGGAGAUGUUGACAAGCUGGAAUGUGUCCAGAGGAGGCCACACUUUGGAAUACUGUUUGGAAUUCUAAAUGAUCAAGGUUUUGGAGAACAACCCCUAUGAGGAGUUAAAGAGCUGGGCAUGUUUAGUUUGCAGAAGAGAAAGCUGAGAGGAGACAUGAUGAGGACUAUAUAUAAAUAUAUGAGGGGAAGUCAUAGGGAGGAAGGAGCAAGCUUGUUUUCUGCUGCCUUGGAGACUACAAUGGGUUCAAACUACAGGAAAGGAGAUUCCACCUGAACAUCAGGAAGAACUUCCUCACUGUGAGGGCUGUUCAGCAGUGGAACUCUCUGCCCCGGACUGUGAUGGAGGCUCCUUCUUUGGAGGCUUUUAAGCAGAGGCUAGAUGGCCAUCUGUCGAGGGUGCUUUGAAUGUGAUUUUCCUGUUUCUUGGCAGGAGGUUGGACUGGAUGGUGCACAAGGUCUCUUCCAAAUCUAUGAUUCUAUUAUUCUAAGUGGGUCUUAAGUGGGCAUCCCAAACCAAAAUAAAACCAUGACAACUGUCUUAGAAAUGUGUUAUAAAUAUUCAUUGGCAUUUCAGUUGGGAUAGCUGGCAAUAAUAAUUUGCUACAGGGAAAACCUUUUUCUUACAACUACAUAGUAGUUGGUAGCUUAGCUCAGAGGGCACAAGGAAAUCUCAAAUAUAUGGAAGGAAGCAUCAUUCUUCUUCCUAAUAGAAAGAUGCUGGUGCUUUGAGUUUGCAUAUGUAAACUAGGCAAGUGAUGAGACCCCUAGAAAAUAUAUCUAAGGGGAUCCAAAGGGAAAUGUUUGAAGGUGGCACAUAUGUACCCCUCUCUCCCUUUAGCAGCCUUAUCCUUCAUCUUCCUAGACUUUAUAAUAGAUGUGAGCAAGGUCCAGACUGUGGACCACUUGCAUCUGUUUUUGUGGUCCUGUCCAGGCACCAGAGCUUUUUCUUUUACCCAAAUGCUCUCUAAAUGUGAACAUGAAAGGUCAGCAAGGAUUGAAGGGUGGGGGAUUAAUGUCCCCUAGUCUCUGAGAAAUGCACAAUUUUUGCUUGAUAUUAAAGUUUAGAAGCCCUUUGGAGGAACAAACAGUGAUGGAAAUCCUUCGAUUCCUCCUUAGAUUAAAAAUAAAAGUUAAUCAGUGCUUUAUAGAGUGCCAUUAAGAGUAAAUGAAAUAUUCUAUAUUACACUUCCUGGUCAAAAUAAUAUAUCUUUCUAUGAAACAGAUAUGAGUGCAAGAUAGUUAAAUCUGAGAAAGACAGUUGGUAACUAAGCAUGGCUCAGCAACAGAGGAGAGGAGCAUAUUUUAAGCUGCUGGUAGGACAUGUUAGAAGGUCUGUAACAGGGGUAUGGAGUGGGGAGUUUGGUGUGGUUUUUUUUUAAAUGCAGGAUUUCCCAGUAAAAACCCACAAAGUAAGAAAUGCACUGGGUGCGGUUAAAAGUUUUGCUUAAAAUGGUUUUCCACUUUUGGCUCAGACCUAGAAUUAAUUGUAUUGUAUAAUUUUUUUACUCUUGUAAGUGUUUUACAGCACAGUUGGAAGGCAUGGAAGGUUAAUUGCACAAAAUAUUCCUUUAAAAAAAUCAAAUAUAUUUCCAAUUCCUUCAAGAUAUGGCCUGGAAGCAAGUACUUGGAUUAUUUGCAUAAUGAAGCUAUGUGCCCGGAUUUCAUCUCUACUAUUAAAAGCCACUUAGCCUUUACUUCAGAGAAAAUGCUGUUUCUUGAUCUUCAAAUCUGAGAGACACGUAACAUCAUUGGAGUUGUUGGAUGUUGCUACAACUGAACAUUUCAAUUCUACUUGGUUUUCCUUUCUUUGAUGUAAAUGGGAAUGGACAUGUCAGCAUGAAAAGCAAUCCAGUACUGGAUGAUUUCUGCAAUUUUUGUUUUCUCUUAUUUUCCACCAAAAAGGUGCCAGUAUUUAACAAUAAACCUAAGUGAAAUCCUGAUCCCUGUGAAAGCGAGUUUCAAAACUUUAAAUUGAUUCUAGUGGAUACUUCAUUUCUUGGGACCAGAUUUUCAACUACUGUGUUUAAGCUUCAAUAAAUUGACUUCAGAAGAUUUAACAUUGUGGUAUCCCUUAAGGAUUUGGGCAGUCAAGAACCAACAUUGAGGGAAGUCAAUAGUAGAAAACUGCUUCAAGAGCAAAAGACCGUAAAAACACAAUCCAGACCAGAAGAGAAAACUGGCAAAAGAAGGCUCUCCAUGGACAGUUCCUGGAAAAAAUUGAGAGCCAAAUUGACAAAGAAAAACAUGGCUGUGGCUCACAAAUGGAACUUUGAAAAAGGAGACGGAAAGCCUGAUUCUGGCAGCCCAAGAACAAGCCAUUAGAACCAAUGCCAUCAAAGCCAAAAUUGAAAAGUCAACGACAGAUCCCAAAUGUAGACUCUGCAAGGAAGCCGAUGAAACAAUAGAUCACAUCCUCAGCUGCUGCAAGAAGAUCGCACAGACAGACUACAAGCAGAGGCAUAACACCAUUGCUCAGAUGAUUCAUUGGAACUUUUGUCACAAAUACCAUCUGCCUGCGACAAAGAACUGGUGGGAUCACAAGCCUGAAAAGGUUACAGAGAAUGAACAUGUCAAGCUACUCUGGGACUUCCGAAUUCAGACAGACAGAGUUUUGGAGCACAAUACUUCUGACCUCACUAUCGUGUUAAAAAACCAAGUAUGGAUCAUUGGUAUUGCAAUUCCAGAUGGCAGCAGAAUCGACGAGAAGCAACUGGAAAAGCUGACACUAUACGAGGAUUUAAAGAUCGAACUGCAAAGACUCUGACACAAGCAAGUAAAGGUGGCCCCAGUGGUGAUCAGCACACUGACCUUAGCCCCAGCACUUAAAACAAUAGGUGCUGACAAAAUUACUAUCUGUCAGCUGCAAAAGGCCACCCUACUUGGAUCUACACACAUUAUUCACUGAUACAUCACAUAAUCUUAGACACUUGGGAAGUAUCCGAUGUGUGAUCCAAUACAACAGCCAGCAUAGUGAUCUUAUUUGUUGUGUACUAAUCUUGUUGUGUAUCAAAUAAUAAAAUAAUAAAAAUAAUAACUGCAAAGGCUCUGGCACAAACCA